rnacentral:lncRNA from 1 species
UUGUUGUCAGGGAAUAUGAAGAACAAAGAAAGUAUCCAAGAACCUAGAUUUGAUUAUUACAACCAUGAAGUUCCUGAUAUUGACCUCAGUGAUUGUGAAUUCCCACAUGUCAUUGAAAUUUAUGACUUCCCCCAAGAAUUUCGUACUGAAGAUCUCCUACGGAUUUUCUGCACUUAUCAAAAGAAAGGAUUUGAUAUUAAAUGGGUGGACGAUACACAUGCCCUAGGAGUAUUCUCCAGUCCGAUUACAGCACGUGAUGCUCUUGGUAGUAAACAUACCAUGGUGAAGAUCCGGCCCUUGUCACAGGCCACAAGAGCAGCCAAGGCCAAAGCUAGAGCUUAUGCUGAGUUUCUGCAGCCAGCAAAGGAGCGUCCUGAGACUUCAGCAGCCCUAGCCAGAAGGCUAGUCAUCAGUGCCCUUGGGGUUCGAAGUAAGCAGAGCAAAACUGAACGGGAAGCAGAGCUUAAGAAACUGCGAGAAGCCCGAGAGAGAAAACGAUUGGAAGCCAAGCAACGGGAAGCCAUCUGGGAAGGCAGAGACCAGUCUGCAGUUUGA